rnacentral:lncRNA from 1 species
UUGAAGAGCCCCUCAGAAUGUGCUUUCAAGUGAGACUCAAAUUCUGACGAUGAAGACUUCCCUGCUGUUGAGUUUAUGAAGAUCAAAAAAGCCUUCAGCUUUGAGAAGAACUCCUUGUACUCCACUUUCGAGGAGCAUAAGCUCUCAAGGUUGUCUAUAAAUCUAAUCAUAAUCUUGAAAGCGAAAGGUUCAAACUCGUUGGCCAGUCUAGGAAGUUUCCUCAAGUAAUGCCUUAAUAAGAAACCUCCUUGCGCUUCAUAUACCGUACUUGAUGCUACUAUUAUACACAUUAGACAUAUUGCUAAAGGAAAUCUUGUCAUUUUCCUGUCAGAUGGAAAAAAAAAAAAGAACUAGAGUGAUUUAUUAAGUUUUUUUUUUUUAAGUUUCUAUUUUUUUUUGUUUAUUGAAUGAUUUUAUUUCAUAAAAGAACUCGAUUAUAUAGAUGCUUAAGAACGCUAAAUUUGCUUUAAGAGAAAUUGGUGGAUCCAUCGAAGGCCGAGAGAGAGAAUAGCAAAAUGUUAAUGGCUCUCGUGUUCCAUAACCGAUUAAGACGGCAAACUGUGUUUCUACCAUUCAAUUAGAAAAUAAAUAUAUCACUGUUAUAAAUAAUAUUAUGGAUGUCAAUAACCGGUCCGGUCCAUAACCGGCCCAAUACCAAGAAGAGAGAGAGAGGCGGCCACGCAUGGAGAGAGAGAGAGGCGGUUUACCUGGUUAGAGAAAAGGAAACUCUAUUUCCUUUUCCUUAUAUUUGUACACUUUCCAUAUUUAUGUCUUUCCUUUUAUCUCUUUGUAAUUCCCAUAUAUAAGGGCACCUUAUGUUUGAGUAAUAAAACAAUAACUUACAGAUUCUAAAUCCUUAAGUUUACAACACGUUAUCAACACGAAACUCUAAAACACCCUGAGCCAAAAAAAAAUCGAUAAACCCUAAAAUCCUAACCGUACCCGGCGUAUCCGACGAACCCUAAUCCGAUCGUGUCUCUUGUUCUAGCUCACGUCCCCGAUCAGCUCCAGCCCCAAGGCGUUCCUGAUCCUAGACGAACUCAGCUCCAACUCGCAUCCAGCUCGCGUUCUAGACAGCAAGCGUCCCGUUCGCAUCAGACGAUCAAGCCGCUCGCGAUCCGAUAGCAAACAGAUCGCGUCUCCGAUCAGCCGCCCGCAACCUCAGCCUCAAUACCGUUCGCGACUCGAUAGGAAGCAGCCAGCUCGCGUCCCGUUCCUGUCCAGCUCGAGGUUCAUUCUUUGGUGGUCUGGUUCAUCAAACAACUAAGCUAAAGGUAAUUUGAAUUCUAAGAACGUAUGAAUCGAAUUUGGAUUGUUUGUAAAGAAUGAAACCAUAAAACCUAAUCUUGAUGAUAAAAGCCAUAGGAUAAUAGAUCAAACCCUAAUGAGUAAAUCGAAGCUCUAAAAGUUCGAUACCCCAAACCCUAAAAUCGAGAUUGAUCUAUUGAUCAAUUAAAAUCAAAAUCCUUGAUGAUUUUGAAUCUCAAAUCAAACCCCUUUGAUCUAAGAUCAAAUCGAAACCCUAAACCCUAAUUUUGAAAAUCGGUUUUGAUUGUUUGAAUUUGAAAUCUUGAUUGAUUGAUUUGAUCACCUAGAACUGUUGCUAAGAUUGUUUAAACUCGAAUCUGAAUGAAUUAAAAUUGUUUGGCUUGUUUAAACUGAAACCCUAAUAACCUAGUCUAGAUUGUUUUGAUAUCAAAUCUGAAACUGCAUGCUAGGUUAAUUGUUCUAGACUUGAUCAAACCCCGUGGCCGUGCAGCCUUGUUGCACUCAUACACAAUUGAUUGAUUGCAAUUACACUUAGAACCUUCUUCUAGGAAUGGUAUUGAAUUAAUAUCAAGUAGCCGUAACCAGCUCCAAUGGAGGAAGAACCACUGCCUGAGCUACCACCUCCAGUCCCUCCAGCUCCGGGGUAGGGAGAACCACUUCCAGAGCUUCCAUCUCCAGCGCUUCCAGCACCCAUGGAGGAGGUACCACCGCCAGAGCUUCCACCUCCAGCGCUUCCAACUCCCAAGGAGGAGGCACCACCGCCGGAGCUACCACCUCCAGCACUUCCAGUUCCCAUGGAGGAAGAACCACUGCCCGAGCUUCCACCUCCAGCAUUUCCAGCGUCAUCAUCUCCACCUCCAAUGCCAAGAGAUGGGAGAUCAAUAUCACCGUCACCUGUCUUCUCACGUACAGUUUUCACAAACUGACCAAUCACUUGUGCCCAUUUCAUCAUAGAUGUGAUCAGCACUCUCCUUUGUUCACUUGUCAUUGUUAGUGAACCGCUCCUCUUAUACUCAGCCAUAACUUUUCCCAUCGACAUCAAACUUUCAAUCAACUUGCUUGUAUCCGCCUACCACAAAGCCAAAAAAAAAGAUAACACUCAUCAAAAACAUUUUUUCAUUUCAAAUUUAGAUGAACAUGUACUAAUACUCAAAUGAGAUAACAAAAUAUAAACUCUUACCGAUGCUUUGACACCCAAUGCAGUGAUAGCCUUGAAGAGCCCCUCAGAAUGUGCUUUCAACUGAGACUCAAAUUCUGACGAUGAAGACUUCCCUGCUGUUGAGUUUAUGAAGAUCAAAAAAGCCUUCAGCUUUGAGAAGAACUCCUUGUACUCCACUUUCGAGGAGCAUAAGCUCUCAAGGUUGUCUAUAAAUCUAAUCAUAAUCUUGAAAGCGAAAGGUUCAAACUCGUUGGCCAGUCUAGGAAGUUUCCUCAAGUAAUGCCUUAAUAAGAAACCUCCUUGCGCUUCAUAUACCGUACUUGAUGCUACUAUUAUACACAUUAGACAUAUUGCUAAAGGAAAUCUUGUCAUUUUCCUGUCA